rnacentral:rRNA from 1 species
GAUGAACGCUGGCGGCGUGCCUAAUACAUGCAAGUCGAGCGAACGGACGAGAAGCUUGCUUCUCUGAUGUUAGCGGCGGACGGGUGAGUAACACGUGGAUAACCUACCUAUAAGACUGGGAUAACUUCGGGAAACCGGAGCUAAUACCGGAUAAUAUUUUGAACCGCAUGGUUCAAAAGUGAAAGACGGUCUUGCUGUCACUUAUAGAUGGAUCCGCGCUGCAUUAGCUAGUUGGUAAGGUAACGGCUUACCAAGGCAACGAUGCAUAGCCGACCUGAGAGGAUGAUCGGCCACACUGGAACUGAGACACGGUCCAGACUCCUACGGGAGGCAGCAGUAGGGAAUCUUCCGCAAUGGGCGAAAGCCUGACGGAGCAACGCCGCGUGAGUGAUGAAGGUCUUCGGAUCGUAAAACUCUGUUAUUAGGGAAGAACAUAUGUGUAAGUAACUGUGGACAUCUUGACGGUACCUAAUCAGAAAGCCACGGCUAACUACGUG